UACGAAGGGGGCUAGCGUUGUUCGGAAUUACUGGGCGUAAAGGGCGCGUAGGCGGUCCUGAUCGUCGGAUGUGAAAGGCCUGGGCUCAACCUGGGAACUGCAUCCGAUACGGCGGGACUGGAGUGUGGGAGAGGUUGGUGGAAUUCCCAGUGUAGAGGUGAAAUUCAUAGAUAUUGGGAAGAACACCGGUGGCGAAGGCGGCCAACUGGACCACAACUGACGCUGAGGCGCGAAAGCGUGGGGAGCAAACAGG
rnacentral:rRNA from 1 species